AUUGAACGCUGGCGGCAGGCUUAACACAUGCAAGUCGAGCGGAGAUGAGGUGCUUGCACCUUAUCUUAGCGGCGGACGGGUGAGUAAUGCUUAGGAAUCUGCCAUUUAGUGGGGGACAACAUUCCGAAAGGAAUGCUAAUACCGCAUACGUCCUACGGGAGAAAGCAGGGGAUCUUCGGACCUUGCGCUAAAUGAUGAGCCUAAGUCGGAUUAGCUAGUUGGUGGGGUAAAGGCCUACCAAGGCGACGAUCUGUAGCGGGUCUGAGAGGAUGAUCCGCCACACUGGGACUGAGACACGGCCCAGACUCCUACGGGAGGCAGCAGUGGGGAAUAUUGGACAAUGGGCGGAAGCCUGAUCCAGCCAUGCCGCGUGUGUGAAGAAGGCCUUUUGGUUGUAAAGCACUUUAAGCGAGGAGGAGGCUACUAGUACUAAUACUACUGGAUAGUGGACGUUACUCGCAGAAUAAGCACCGGCUAACUCUGUGCCAGCCGCCGCCGUAA
rnacentral:rRNA from 1 species